rnacentral:rRNA from 1 species
CCUACGGGAGGCAGCAGUGGGGAAUUUUGGACAAUGGGCGCAAGCCUGAUCCAGCAAUGCCGCGUGAGUGAAGAAGGCCUUCGGGUUGUAAAGCUCUUUUGUCAGGGAAGAAACGGUGGAGGUUAGUACCUUCUGCUAAUGACGGUACCUGAAGAAUAAGCACCGGCUAACUACGUGCCAGCAGCCGCGGUAAUACGUAGGGUGCAAGCGUUAAUCGGAAUUACUGGGCGUAAAGCGUGCGCAGGCGGUUGUGCAAGACAGAUGUGAAAUCCCCGGGCUCAACCUGGGAAUUGCAUUUGUGACUGUACGGCUAGAGUGUGUCAGAGGGGGGUAGAAUUCCACGUGUAGCAGUGAAAUGCGUAGAGAUGUGGAGGAAUACCGAUGGCGAAGGCAGCCCCCUGGGAUAACACUGACGCUCAUGCACGAACGACGGUGGGGAGGACGAACGAGAGUAGUAUACCGUACGGUAGUACCGACCGACCCGUAACCGACUAGUCUACUAGUUAGUUCGGGUUCGUUUAUUAGUACGUUAGGUUAACGUACGA